GACGAACGCUGGCGGCGUGCUUAACACAUGCAAGUCGAACGGAAAGGCCCAGCUUUUGUGGGGUGCUCGAGUGGCGAACGGGUGAGUAACGCGUGAGUAACCUGCCCUUGACUUUGGGAUAACUUCAGGAAACUGGGGCUAAUACCGGAUAGGAGCUCCUGCUGCAUGGUGGGGGUUGGAAAGUUUCGGCGGUUGGGGAUGGACUCGCGGCUUAUCAGCUUGUUGGUGGGGUAGUGGCUUACCAAGGCUUUGACGGGUCGCCGGCCUGAGAGGGUGACCGGCCACAUUGGGACUGAGAUACGGCCCAGAGUCCUACGGGAGGCAGCAGUGGGGAAUAUUGCACAAUGGGCGGAAGCCUGAUGCAGCGACGCCGCGUGCGGGAUGACGGCCUUCGGGUUGUAAACCGCUUUCGCCUGUGACGAAGCGUGAGUGACGGUAAUGGGUAAAGAAGCACCGGCUAACUACGUG
rnacentral:rRNA from 1 species